CCCCGCCCUAGGGUAGCUCCUGAAAAGCCGGAACCCUACCGGCCUGGGCGGGGAUUCAACAUAGGG
rnacentral:sRNA from 1 species